AACGCACAUUGCGCCUCUUGGUAUUCCGAGGGGCAUGUCUGUUUGAGCGUCAGUACACACUCACAAUCUUGUGGUUUUGAAGGCACAGUCUUCUAAUGUCGUACGCUUGCGAACCGAAUACCAAUCAUAACGUAGUAAAUUCUCUCGCUAUUGAAAGGUAGGCGGCCGCCUGAAUCAAACUAAAGUUUGACCUCAGAUCAGACAAGGAUACCCGCUGAACUUAA
rnacentral:misc_RNA from 1 species